GGCGGACGGGUGAGUAACACGUGGGUAACCUACCUAUAAGACUGGGAUAACUUCGGGAAACCGGAGCUAAUACCGGAUAACAUUUGGAACCGCAUGGUUCUAAAGUGAAAGAUGGUUUUGCUAUCACUUAUAGAUGGACCCGCGCCGUAUUAGCUAGUUGGUAAGGUAACGGCUUACCAAGGCAACGAUACGUAGCCGACCUGAGAGGGUGAUCGGCCACACUGGAACUGAGACACGGUCCAGACUCCUACGGGAGGCAGCAGUAGGGAAUCUUCCGCAAUGGGCGAAAGCCUGACGGAGCAACGCCGCGUGAGUGAUGAAGGGUUUCGGCUCGUAAAACUCUGUUAUUAGGGAAGAACAAACGUGUAAGUAACUAUGCACGUCUUGACGGUACCUAAUCAGAAAGCCACGGCUAACUACGUGCCAGCAGCCGCGGUAAUACGUAGGUGGCAAGCGUUAUCCGGAAUUAUUGGGCGUAAAGCGCGCGUAGGCGGUUUCUUAAGUCUGAUGUGAAAGCCCACGGCUCAACCGUGGAGGGUCAUUGGAAACUGGGAAACUUGAGUGCAGAAGAGGAAAGUGGAAUUCCAUGUGUAGCGGUGAAAUGCGCAGAGAUAUGGAGGAACACCAGUGGCGAAGGCGACUUUCUGGUCUGUAACUGACGCUGAUGUGCGAAAGCGUGGGGAUCAAACAGGAUUAGAUACCCUGGUAGUCCACGCCGUAAACGAUGAGUGCUAAGUGUUAGGGGGUUU
rnacentral:rRNA from 1 species